GUCCCUGUCCCGCAUGAUCCGAAAGAUGAAGCUUCCUGGCCGCGAGAACAAGACUGCUGUGGUUGUGGGGACGGUCACAGAUGAUGUGCGGAUUCUGGAAGUUCCCAAGCUGAAGGUAUACCGACAUUUUGGCAAGGCCCCAGGAACCCCACACAGCCAUACCAAACCCUAUGUCCGUUCCAAGGGCCGGAAGUUUGAGCGCGCCAGAGGCCGAAGGGCCAGCAGAGGCUACAAAAACUAACCCUGGAUCUUAACUGUUAAUAAAAAAAAGCAUUGGA
rnacentral:lncRNA from 1 species